UAAUACGGAGGGUGCAAGCGUUAUCCGGAUUCACUGGGUUUAAAGGGUGCGUAGGCGGAUAGGUAAGUCCGUGGUGAAAUCCUGCAGCUUAACUGCAGAACUGCCAUGGAUACUAUUUAUCUUGAAUAUCGUGGAGGUUAGCGGAAUAUGUCAUGUAGCGGUGAAAUGCUUAGAUAUGACAUAGAACACCCAUUGCGAAGGCAGCUAACUACGCGAUAAUUGACGCUGAUGCACGAAAGCGUGGGGAUCAAACAGGAUUAGAUACCCUGGUAGUCCACGCCCUAAACGAUGAUUACUCGACAUUGGCGAUACACAGUCAGUGUCUGAGCGAAAGCAUUAAGUAAUCCACCUGGGAAGUACGAUCGCAAGAUUG
rnacentral:rRNA from 1 species